GAGAUGAUCAGAGAGCGUCAUGCACGGAGCCUGUCAGCACAACGCUACGAACAUGGAAGCAAUCGAAAUUCACCCUCUAUAACAGGCUCACUGCCUGGAUAUGGACGAAAUGGACUGCAUCGGCCUCAGUCGAC